rnacentral:rRNA from 1 species
UGCGCAGGCGGUUGUACAAGACGGAUGUGAAAUCCCCGGGCUCAACCUGGGAAUGGCAUUCGUGACUGUACGGCUAGAGUGUGUCAGAGGGGGGUAGAAUUCCACGUGUAGCAGUGAAAUGCGUAGAUAUGUGGAGGAAUACCGAUGGCGAAGGCAGCCCCCUGGGAUAACACUGACGCUCAUGCACGAAAGCGUGGGGAGCAAACA